AGUUUGAUCAUGGCUCAGGAUGAACGCUGGCGGUGUGCCUUAGGCAUGCAAGUCGAACGGGAGUCCCUCCUCGGAGGGACAAUAGUGGCAGACGGGUGAGUAACGCGUAGGAACUUACCUUCAAGUGGGGAAUAGCCAUCCGAAAGGGUGGGUAAUACCGCAUGUGAUCGCAAGAUUAAAGUCUUCGGACGCUUGAAGAGAGGCCUGCGAGCUAUCAGCUAGUUGGUGAGGUAACGGCUCACCAAGGCAAUGACGGCUAGCCGAUGUGAGAGCAUGAUCGGCCACAAGGUCACUGAGAAACGGGGCCUACACCUACGGGUGGCAGCAACCGGGAAUAUUGCGCAAUGGACGAAAGUCUGACGCAGCGACACCGCGUGUGGGAUGAAGCUUUUCGGAGUGUAAACCACUGUGGCAGGGGAAUAAAUUUUGAAGGUACCCUGCUAGAAAGCACCUGCUAACCACGUGCCAGAAGCCUCGGUAAUACGUGGGGUGCAAGCGUUAUCCGGAUUUACUGGGCGUAAAGCGUACCGUCGGCGGUUUGACAAGUUGCUCGUUUAAACCCGAGGCUCAACUUCGGAUCAGCGAGCAAAACUGUCAAACUUGAGUGUGUUCGAGGUAACUAGAAUUCUCUGUGGAGGGGUGAAAUCCGUAGAUAUAGAGAGGAAUGCCAAGCGCGAAAGCAGGUUACUAGGACAUUACUGACGCUCAUGGACGAAAGCUAGGGUAGCAAACGGGAUUAGAGACCCCGGUAGUCCUAGCCGUAAACACUCC
rnacentral:rRNA from 1 species